rfam:Virgibacillus sp. SK37 plasmid pSK37064, complete sequence.
UUUGUCAACGGUAAAUCGGACGGAAUGAGGAACGAAUGAGGGAGAAUUUAAGGAGUUGACAAAUAGCCUGCA